rnacentral:rRNA from 1 species
AGCUAUAAGAAAUUAUUUUUAGUUAUACCUGCCCAAUGUAGAAUUAUUAAUGGCCGCGGUACCCUGACCGUGCUAAGGUAGCGUAAUAAGUUGGCUUUUAAAUGGAGUCAGGUAUGAAUGGAUAAACUGGGCUAAGCUGUCUCAUCUGUGUUUAAUUGAAUUUACUGUGCAAGUGAAAAAGCUUGUUUUUAAUAAGGGGACGAGAAGACCCUUAAAAUUUUAUUUAAAGUAAUGUAUUGUUACUACGAUUUUGUUGGGGCGACAUAGAAAUAAUUAAAACUUUCUAUAAAUUUCAAGCCGGAUUUUUCAAGAAAGAAUAAAUUACUUAAGGGAUAACAGCAUAAUUCUAAAAUUGAGUUUGUGACCUCGAUGUUGGACUAGGAAGCUAGUAGGUUAGACGCUUACUGUGGGGAUUCUGUUCGAAUUUUAACUCCU